rnacentral:rRNA from 1 species
GGAAUACUAACAACUAUCCCCUAGUAACGGCGAGUGAACCGGGAAGAGCUCAAAUUUGAAAUCUGGCGUGCUCAGUGCGUCCGAGUUGUAAUCUAUAGAGUCGUUUUCCGUGCCGGACUGUGUCCAAGUCCCUUGGAACAGGGUAUCAAAGAGGGUGAUAAUCCCGUACUUGACACAAUGACCGGUGCUCUGUGAUACGUCUUCUACGAGUCGAGUUGUUUGGGAAUGCAGCUCAAAAUGGGUGGUGAGUUCCAUCUAAAGCUAAAUAUUGGCGAGAGACCGAUAGCGAACAAGUACCGUGAGGGAAAGAUGAAAAGCACUUUGGAAAGAGAGUUAAACAGUACGUGAAAUUGUUAAAAGGGAAACGAUUGAAGUCAGUCGUGACUGAGAGGCUCAGCCGGUUCUGCCGGUGUAUUCCCCUCAGUCGGGUCAACAUCAGUUUUGUUCGGUGGAUAAGGGCAGUUGGAAGGUGGCACCCUCGGGUGUUGUUAUAGCCAGCUGUCGCAU